rnacentral:sRNA from 1 species
CUCUCAUUCAGAGAAGAAAUGAUGUAGUCUACCCCCUUUUAAAAAAGUUUUCCACUGGCUCAAAGAUAGCUCUAUGCAAUCCGCCAGCAAACCACCGCGCGAUCAGAGCACCACCCGCAACCUAUCAUUAUCAGACUAACGCAGUACAUCACAAAGUACAUCACAAGUGGAGUCAAUCCUUAUAAUUUACUUAUUCGGUUCUCACAAAUCCGCGGUUUGGAAGCUGAAGAAGAACAUAAAACCGGCCAAUCCAGCAAGCUUCGGGCCAGGAACCCUUCAAGCUUCGUAUCCCAGCGUUCCAGCAAGACGUUUUUAUCCCUUGCUCCCCGCAGCUAGCCCUGGAGCCAACCCUGUCCAGCCACUUCUAGGUUAGGCUCAGGGGCCAGGGGAACCGGGGAACCGGGGAACCGGGCUGGAUCAACAACUGACUUGGAAUAAUGAAUCCAAACCGAACAAGCAGGGAGCACAGCAGAGCCAUGUUUGCGUUCUGCGGGACCCUACAUCUAUUCCCGUCCAGGCAUUCCUACUUGGUAUCUUCCAACGACCGAAAAGGAUGCGGAUAGAGUGCAAGCUGCUGGUUCGCCGUCCCAUCCAGCCAAUCGUGUUCAUCACUACAUCCUUCCGAGCCUACGCUUUGACCGUCUAAAUUUCUUGCUUUGCUUGGCUAGUGACAUGUGGUUCCUGAACUUCGUAGUAAUAAUAAUUUCAGCAAGAUAUGAGAAUAGGAAACUAUACGAAAUAACAAUUUCCUUUGUAUGCUAUUCCCUUUGAACGCCUAGCUUUAAAAAAAAAAAAAAAUUCAGUCACCCACCCCCUGAUAUAUAUCUAUAUGGACACCCAACUCUAACUCCCCAAUCACGAUUUCUUAGCGAAUCCCAAUCUACAAAUUCUUUGCUGGCACAAAGUAUUUUAUACCCUCAACUUCCCCAGUUGUAUAAUAGUUGUUUUGUUUUUUCGGCUAUUUUCCCCCUCCCCUCCCAUCCUGCUUCCUCUUCGCCUAUUUCUUCCUCGUCUCCCCUGACCAGGCGCGCAUCUCCUUUGCGCUGCUAUGGGCUGCUCGGAAUACUUGAUAUAUGUUCCCGCCCACACACGGAACAGUAAGCAUUAGCGGGGUAAGAAGCAAUGGCAACACUUCAAGGAGAAAUACAAAAUAUAACGACACGGCACGGAAAGAAAGAGAGAAGAAAAAGAAGAAGAAGAAGAAGAAGAAGAAGAAGGGCAAAAGUAUAAAGAAAACUCACACUGCCUCUCCGUCUCAUCCAGCCCACGUAAGAACUCCACCCCAUCGCCCAGCGCGCCGCGCGAGUUAUGCGCAUGGUCCGCAAUCUCCAUUGCGCGUUUCUUGAAUGUCUCCAUAAGAACAUCAACCAUCUCCUCCUCCUCAAACAGUUGCAGGAUGCGCACGCCAAGUCUAUAGAAGUGCGGCGCCAGGGAGCGCAGGUCCACGGUGCGCGGGUCGGCUUUUAGCGCGUUCAUGACCUUUUCAGAGAGGGCGCUGGGCAGGUCGAGGGUGACGAGGGGGGAGGAGUCGGUGCGGGCGCUGUACGAGUGUGAGCCUGGAGGAAUUGGGGGAAAUUGAGAGCAUUUGGUAGGUGUUUGCGUUGUUUAAGAUGGUAGUUUGGGGAAGGAUGGGUACAGUAGAGGACGAACCCAACAGCAAGCAUCUCGCCGAGCCAGAGGGGGAGGUCGAUUCGGGUACCUGGCUUUAUCUGGGGAGGUGGAAAGGAUGGGAUUAGUUUGGGAUAUCUUCGACUCGACGCCAUGAACAACAGGACUAAAAAGCAAACGGCAAAAGGCAAGACGCGUAGACUACAGGGGAAAAAAAAGAGAAUAACAUACGUCCUCCCCAACAUUGCCAUCCAGGUAACCCAGCCCUGGAACCUCGAGUUCGAAUGUGCAUGGUAGUUUCUUGCCCCCCAACAGCGAGCACCAGCACCCCGCCGCCGUCAGCCAUUAUCAAAAGCCAUCUGGAAAUUUAUUUUUCAAAAGGG